UUUUCUCUUUUUCUUCCCUCUCUACUUUCUCAAUCUCUCUUUUUUCUUCACUUUUCUCUAACUUCUUUCCCCAAACCACCCCAGAACCACCACACUUUCCAGUUUCCGAUUGAAUUUCAACUGAAAAUUUCAAACCUUCAUCAGAUUCUUCAACCUCAUCACUAGGUUCAAACCCUAAUUGGGUUUGGAUGAACCCUAACAACCUCUUCAUGUCACCCAAAUGAACCCUAACCCUACCUGGAUGAACCCUAGGACCCUAACCCUAAACCACACCCAAAUUCUUCGAAUCUUUAUCAUGUUCAUCAUGAACAUGAUGAAUCUUCAUCAUCAACCUCCAAACCCUACCCCUACAAACCCAGAAACAACCUUAAACUCUUUGAAAUCCUCUCAAACUAACCCUAAACCUUAAACCCUACCCCUACAAACAUAAAAGGAGGCAAAAGGGGAUUAGCGGCCAACCUACAAAGAGGAGAAUUUCUCUAGUCAACAAGGUACUUGGUAAUUGAUGUUAAGCUCAGAUGCUUAGCGUUUCAAUGUAAAACCCUAAGUAUCAUGAAUUUUGGAGCUUUGAUGAGAGUUUGGUUGCAGCAAUAAUAUUUUUUGAUUUUUUUCUGUGGUCCUGUUCAUCUCAAUUCUUUAUGUAUUUACAGGUUAAUAUCAGGUCUUAGGUCUUAAUUAGAUUGAUUAGUUUUAGGAAGUUUUUCAUUUUGAUUGAUUCAACUUAAUUAUAAUUUUGAUUAGGUUUUGAUUUUGUCUUAAAAUAGAAUUAGGGUUUUCGGAUUUUGUAAUUGUAACAACUUUUAUUUACAUAUUUAGUCUGAUUUUUAGUGUAAA